GACGUAGGGCGCGAGCGUUGUCCGGAUUUAUUGGGCGUAAAGAGCUCGUAGGCGGCUUGUUGCGUCGACUGUGAAAACCCGCGGCUUAACUGCGGGCUUGCAGUUGAUACGGGCAGGCUAGAGUUCGGUAGGGGAGACUGGAAUUCCUGGUGUAGCGGUGAAAUGCGCAGAUAUCAGGAGGAACACCGGUGGCGAAGGCGGCAUCCUGGACCGGUAUUGACGCUGAGGCGCGAAAGCUAGGGGAGCAAACGGG
rnacentral:rRNA from 1 species